ACAACAUUGGGACCGUCGGUCUACCAAGUAAUAACAACCACUCGGUGGAAAAUCUUCCCCCCUUUGU
rnacentral:pre_miRNA from 1 species